rnacentral:tRNA from 1 species
UGAGCUCGUCGACGAGCGAGGAGACGUUCCAGGCGUUCCUGCCGCUGCACGUCUGGUUCGACCCGGACGGGCUCGUC